rnacentral:rRNA from 1 species
GACAGAGGUGCCGAGCGUUAGGCGGAAUCACUGGGCUUAAAGCGUGUGUAGGCGGACUGAUAAGUACCUUGUGAAAUCCCACGGCUUAACCGUGGAACUGCUUGGUAUACUGUCGGUCUUGAGCCAGCUAGAGGUUACCGGAACAAAUGGUGGAGCGGUGAAAUGCGUAGAUAUCAUGAGGAAUACCAGAGGCGAAGGCGGCUACCUGGACAAUUGCUGACGCUCAGGCGCGAAAGCGUGGGGAGCAAAAGGG